rnacentral:rRNA from 1 species
GACGAACGCUGGCGGCGUGCUUAACACAUGCAAGUCGAACGGAAAGGCCCUGCUUGCAGGGUACUCGAGUGGCGAACGGGUGAGUAACACGUGUGUGUUCUGCCCUGCACUCCGGGAUAUGCCUGGGGAACUGGGUCUAAUACCGGAUAGGAGCCCUCUUUCGUGUGGUGGUUGGAAAGUUUUUUUGGUGUAGGUUGAGUCCGCGGCCUAUCAGCUUGUUGGUGGGGUAAUGGCCUACAAAGGCGGCGCCGGUUAGCCGGCCUGCGGGGGUGGGCGGCCACAUGGGGACGGGGUAACGGCCCAGACUCUAACGGGAGGCAGCGGUGGGGAAUAUGGAACAAGGGGGGCAAGCCUGAGGAGGCAAGGCCGCUGGGGGGAGAACGGCCUUCGGGUGGUAAACGCCUUUCGCUGGGAACGAAGGUGAUUGUGACGGUACCUAGAUGAGAAGCACCGUCUAACUACG